rnacentral:misc_RNA from 1 species
GAUGAAGAACGCAGCGAAAUGCGAUAAGUAAUGUGAAUUGUAGAAUUCAGUGAAUCAUCGAAUCUUUGAACGCACAUUGCGCCCGCCAGUAUUCUGGCGGGCAUGCCUGUUCGAGCGUCAUUACAACCCUCAGGCCCCCGGGCCUGGCGUUGGGGAUCGGCGGAAGCCCCCUGCGGGCACAACGCCGUCCCCCAAAUACAGUGGCGGUCCCGCCGCAGCUUCCAUUGCGUAGUAGCUAACACCUCGCAACUGGAGAGCGGCGCGGCCACGCCGUAAAACACCCAACUUCUGAAUGUUGACCUCGAAUCAGGUAGGAAUACCCGCUGAACUUAAGCAUAUCAAUAAGCGGAGGA